UUUAUUGAACUAAGAUUAGCUUCACAAAGUAACUCAGAUGUUUUCAGGAUAAAUUAGACUCAUCCUGUCUUGACUCAUAUCACUCGUCCUAACCCAUUCACAGUGGAAAUUUGUCAGGGCAAAAAGUGCUUUGCUCUUUUAUUAUGUGUCUAUCCAACAAUAGAGUCCGUUAUCUCUGUCUUGCAAAUACAGGGAAUGAAAUAAGAAAGCACAUUAUCUUUGGAAAAUAGGACAGUAAAGGAAUGUCAGAAGUUAUAUUUGACUCUGUAUCUUAUGAGUCCCAAAUCACUUUUACUCUGCUAGACAGGGUGUGUUUCCAAUGUCUUCUCGUGUAUCUAUAUUUGUACAGAUUUAUCCUCUGUCUUUCUUCAGAGUAAAAUAAAUGUUUAUUCUAAAUGAUCAUUAUCAGAUAUGAGGGGAAAGAUAAAUUUGGUAACAUUCUAUUACUGAGAAGAAUAUUUGCAGUUUGUUUGUGAGCACGGAGAAUGAACUAGGAAAGUGUGUAUGAGAUGAUCUACCUGCUAGAGCAUCUUACGUCUACUGGUUGGUGGAGCCUCAGUGCAGAAACAAAUAUUUCAUGAUACUGAUCACUGAUAUUAGUCCUGAGUGAAACAGACAUCUGUCAGAUGGCCUUGGCUCCAAAUGCUUCCUGAGCAUUUCCGAAGGCGAGAGAAAUUGUUCCAAAUCUUCGUGCCGCACACUGACGUCCUUCACUCUUAUGGCAAAACAGAUGGAGAGUCCAAGUGACAGAAAACAAGACAGAAGCAGAAAUUUACCAUUGACCGAAGCUCCAUUAGUGAAUCAAUUUUUAAGUAAGAAGGUAUGUAAGCUACUAAAACCAGUUCAUAUCUAAGUUCUGUCUACUUACUAAUCCUUUGUGCCCUUCCUAUUGUCUUUCAAAAAUGGCUGUCCUACUGUCAAUUUGGAAAGUUUUUCAACAUAAGUUCUCUCUUACAGAAGAGGUGAAAAGCAGGUUUUAGCUUGCCCCGUGGCAAACACU
rnacentral:lncRNA from 1 species